rnacentral:rRNA from 1 species
AGGAUUCGUCCAAGUGAAGCAGAGGACAGUGGCGGACGGGUGAGUAACGCGUGAGGAACCUGCCUUUCAGAGGGGGACAACAGUUGGAAACGACUGCUAAUACCGCAUGACACAUAGAGAUCGCAUGGUUUUUAUGUCAAAGAUUUAUCGCUGAAAGAUGGACUCGCGUCCGAUUAGUUAGUUGGUAAGGUAACGGCUUACCAAGGCGACGAUCAGUAGCCGGACUGAGAGGUUGAUCGGCCACAUUGGGACUGAGACACGGCCCAAACUCC